rnacentral:rRNA from 1 species
UACGUAGGGUGCGAGCGUUGUCCGGAAUUACUGGGCGUAAAGGGCGCGUAGGCGGCACGGCAAGUCAGGCGUGAAAGGCCUGGGCUCAACCGAGGAACUGCUUUUGAGACUGCCGAGCUAUAGUGCAGAAGGGGCAACUGGAAUUCCCAGUGUAGCGGUGAAAUGCGUAGAUAUUGGGAAGAACACCUGAGGCGAAGGCGGGUUGCUGGGCUGACACUGACGCUGAGGCGCGAAAGCCAGGGGAGCAAACGGG